CUAAAGAGCUGAAAUUACAAAGAGCUGAUAAUCACUAAGAGCUGAAAUCACAUAAGCUUGCUUUGGUUGCCUGCAGCUGGGAGCUGCUUGGGAGUUCGGAUGCUGUGCUGAGCAUCACUGAGCUAUCCUGGCCAAGGCAGCCUACUGGGCACAGCCCAGCUGGAAACUGCCUUUCAGUACAGGACAACCAAGAGAUCAGGCCCAGCCAGCAUUGGUUUGCGAAUAGUCGGUCCUGACUAUGCAGCCUGACUAACCUGAUCUUCAUUAACGAGCAGCUUUACAGCCCAAGACCAAGGAAACUGUGCCUUCCAGAGAAUAGGAGAAAAGGCCUCUCAAAAAUGCAAACCAGCAGUAAGUCAAGUGUGCACAUGGGAAAGCAGAUGGAAAGGAGCUGACUGUCAUUCAGUUUCUUCUGCUUGAAGCCUGGUGAAAGAAGCAGAGCUGCUCAGCAGGGGUAACAGCUAUGAAAAGACAAACUAAAACAAAAAACCCCCAACCAACUAACCAAACAUGUGGAAAUGGAGUAAAUAUACUAAACCAACAAUAAACCAAGAAAAAACUGCAGCCCAGUCAGUCUCACCUCUGUGCCUGGAAAGAUCACAGGGCAGAUUCUCCUGGAAACUCUGCUGAGUGAAGUGUCCUUUGCUGCCGUGCUUUUACUCUGAAGAUCAUCCACACUGAAGUACAAUAUCCUGACUGGUGUGUCUAAAGCCCCAAGGGACUAGUCCCUGGUAGUCUGUCACCUGGCCAACCCAAAGCCACACCAUGAAGGAAAAAUGUUAUCUCAUGCUAUGUUGCCAGGAAAGAGACAGUGUAAACAGUCACGAUACAGGUCAGGAGACAAAGUGAGGGAUCAGUGCUUUCCUUGUUACCCUUCAUUUUCUCUGGUUUGGUUCCAAAUUUCAACUGCUAUUCCUUUUCUUAUAGUUUACAAUGUCCUCGCACUUUCCUUAGCACAGUAACGCUUCAGCCAUGUGCAAGUGCUGCUGUAUAUGAGAGUUGCUCCUCCUCUUGGGCAAAGUCACCAG